rnacentral:lncRNA from 1 species
GGUUAUUACAGAAUAUUGAGUAUAGUUCCCUGUGCUGCACAGUAGGUCCUUGUUGAUGAUCUGUUUUACAUAGAGUCGUGUGUAUAUGUUAAUUCCAACCUCCUAUUUUAUCCCUUCCCCCACCUUUCCCCUUUGACAACCAUCCAUUUGUUCUCCUGGUUUUCUCAAAGAGAAAAUAAACUCCAAGACCUCAGUGGUGAAGAUUUCAACUGUUUUGUGUUUAAGAGCCUAAGCAGCAUGUCUAAAUCGUUGGAAAACACACACAUUUCCCAACACUCUCCCCUCCCUCCAAGCACGAAUUCUUCUUCUUUAAUAAGGUGAUCUGGCCAGGCCUGGGUACAUUAUCAGUGAGCGAAUUUGGCAGGUAAAUGCAAAACCAAGAUCAUCUGUAUUCCAUUCCUUGUGAAAUUCCAAGCCGCAUUACUAAAGACUCAGGCAUAAAAGUUUCGAAUCUGUGUCUUUGCGUGAAUUUAAUCAUCUCCAUCAGGAUCCUUAAGGAAUUACAAUAACAGUGAUUCAUUCAUAAUUCACAAUUUCCAUUAUCUUCUUUCUACAUCUAGUGUGGGGGGUAAAAUUUAUGGCUUCAUUUACAUUGUGUUCUAUGAAUAAUAGAAGAAAUACAGUAAAGACCCAUGGAAAUGUUCUUGCUGCAGACGCACUUCAGAGCACAUCUGCAUCACAAUAGCCGCCUCGCCUUUGUACAGUGCAGGAUCCGCGCCGAGCUUGCAGCUGCGAAGGGAACAUUUCAAAGGGGCCAUUCUCAUUAUACAGAGUCCUCUCUUUCUUUGAACUUCAAAGCAGAAGGAGGAGACCUUAAACGAUAUUUGGUAGGUAAGUGGUGAAAUUGUAACUUCAGGUAUAAAAUAUCUUCAAUUAUGUGUAUGGGGAAACACAGCCUUUCAGCGGAGCAAAUAGGUUUGCUCAGAAUGAUAUCAGGCUGGUUGGCAGGAACAAAUUUAAUCUUAAGAUUUCUUUGAGCUCUUGGGGCCUGGAAGAUAAUCCCGAUCAAAGUCCUCCUUUUGUAAAUGGGGAAACCGAGGCAAAGAGGAAGAAAGUGACUUAUCCAAGGUCAUGUAGUAGAGGGACGGCCAGGAGCACCAUCAGACCCCAGGCUCCUGUCCCAGGGUUCUUUCCAGCAGACUGCAGUACCUUUGUUUUAAACACAAAGCACCUGGCUUUGUGAUAUGGCAAUAAAGCUUGCAGUAAGCCUCUUGGUGAGGGAUUUUCAAACAUGGAGCAAAGACAUUUUCAAGGAUCCCCGCCCCCCCACCGCCGCCACCGCCCAAUAAUAAUCUCUCUCAAUUGAAAAAUCUUCACUGAAAAACAUUUUUGAGAUUUGAAGAAAGAAAUUUGUCAUACUUCUGCGAUUAAGUAAAUCUCAUUUUUCUUCUCCCGAGGAACGACAAGAAAGCUGAUGAAAACCUUACGACAUUCAGAUUUCUUCUCCUGGUGUCUGGUAGUAAGUAGCCCAGUGCAAUGCUUCAUUACUGCUCCAUCCGCCAAAGAAUAAAAACCCACCCAUCUGUUUACAGAAUGAUCUGUCCUUUGAAUUGGGAGCUUUCCAGCGACCAUAUGGAACCUGACCUCGCCAAGCCAAGCUCCGUUCACAUAGUAGAGGGUCCGUGCGUUUUUGUUAAAAAGAUUAAAUGAACAAAUGUGCAUUUACUUGUAGUUGGUUGGAGGCUCUAAAGGAUUGUUUCUCAAACCUGCUGUGUUCAUCCUUCCCUUUCCUGUGCCAUGCUUCCUACUUCGCCACCAGCCCUGGUCUGUUCCUCUUUUGUGUUUGAAGAGAACGCAAAUAAUUUGCCUAUGAACCCACCUAUCUUUAAAGCUGUUGGGAAGGAGCUCUCGUUUGCUUAUGGAAGCAUCACAUCGCAAGUUCCAGCUCUACUCUUAUUAAAGUAGUUCAGAUAUUACGUGAGUGGGGAGGCCUUUUGUAGCCGGAAAGGGCCACUGAUAUUAGUAGGCAAAACACAUACAAACUCAACAGCGCCGUGCCUCGCAGAUGCAUAUUCUCUGUGAUCCAACAUGUCUAAUACAUUUAGUCAUGCACAAUAAAAACCAAACAAAGGAAUCAACCAUUGGCCUUUCACUGCCCGCUUCCCACCCCAAGCUUGAAGGAAUUCCUCCAGUUACACACACCAAAACCAAAAUAAUGUGUCUCCCUUCUCUGUGCCCUAGCAAGAGAACUCAAAGUGCAUUUGUUAUAGACAGAAAAAGGAAAAAAAAAAGGGUAGAUUUCUUUGUUUACCUUCUUGGGCUAAGUGCUUGCACCCCCCUAUUCCGGAAGUUUGGAGGCAAGUUGAUUUCAUUUUAUAAAGAGCAUUCUAGUAUGUCUGACAGAGAAGAGUUAAGCAAACAGUCAUAAACUUGCAUUUCUGUAGUUUACAACGUAACCAAGAUCCAACCUUUGGCCCAUUUCAAAAGUCUGCCCACUACACUAAACCCGGCUUAAGACACUCCUUCAGUUCCAGGGUUAAAACACACCACCUGCCUAAUUUCUAAGUGUCUGCUUUGUACCCGCCAGGCUGUUAUUCAUUCAGUUAAGAAGAAAACCUGUUUAUUAAGCAUAGGAUGGAGACCAGAUUUUUGAUUUUGACUUGGACAACUCCUGACGAUUCUAAGAACCUGACAGCCUAUAGGACUUCUCUCCUUCCCAUGAAUUUUUUUGCUCUCUGCCCCAUCGUAAUGGGGUGGGGGAAGGGGUUGGUGGGAAAUUAAAUUUGUAUGUGCUUCGUUUCUGGAUCUUGGUUCUUUUUCGUUUGGUCAUAGAGACUCAAGUUUUGUCUAAUUCUACGCUGACAAUUCUCUUCUGAAAGAGACACGGAGGUAAAAUAAAACCAUUAACUUUCUUUUAUAGGAGCAAAGAGAAGAGAGAGUUUCUGCUUUGUUGGGGCCCCCAAAUAAAUUUUGUUUUUUUCUCUGGGCAAGUGCCUCUUUAUUCUACUUUAUUUUAUGUGUGUAUGUAUUUACUUUGGGUGAUGGAGUUUAGAGUAAGCAAGAGCAAACUCGUAGUUAUUGCCUGAGAAGUUCAUGUAAGAUUGACAACUGGUGGCUUAAGAGUAGACCUGGAAUGUCCAGACAGAAAAUCUUGGACCUCCUAGGUUAGUGAUUUUUAACUUGGGGUGAUUUUGUCCUCCAGGAGCUGUUUGGCAAUGUCUGGAGACAUCUUUGCUCGUCACAGUUAGAAACCAGAGCGUUCCCCUUGUGGCUCAGUGGGUUAAGAACACAAUAUAGUGUCUGUGAGGAUGUGGGUUUGAUCCCCAGUCUUGCUCAGGGGGUUAACGAUCUGGCAUUGCCGCAAGCUGCAAUGUAGUUUUCAGAAGCGGCUUGGAUCUGGUGUUGCUGUGCCUCUGGUGUAGGCCCCAGCGGUAACUCCAAUUUGAACCCUAGCCUGGGAGCUUCUAUACACUGCAGGUACAGCCCUAAAAAGAAAAAAGAAAAGAAAAGGAACCAGACAUGCUGUUAUAUAUUCUACUGUGCACAGGACUGCCCCCAUUUCAAAGAAUUAUCCUACCCCAAAUGUCAGUGGUGCCAAGGUUGAUGAACUCUGCAGAUGAAGUGUCACCUAGAAUAUUGUAUCUGCUUCUAAGUCUAAUACUUUAAUAAAAAUCUUGUCAAUCUGGAGCUUGUCCCAGGAGGGUGGCAGGAAAGUGGGGUGCUUGUUCAGAUCUUAAACAAGGUAAGGGAGAAGGGACCACGGCUGUUAAAUCCACAGAAAAGGAGGCUAAGGAGACAUGGGAGUUCGUUCUGCUACUUCAUAGACCAAAAUGAAUGAACUCCAUAGGGACAGAGAUUUUUGGCUUAACAUGUGGAAGCUAUUUCUCCUUUUUUUUUUUCCUUUUUUGUCUUUUUAGGGCCGCACCUGUGGCAUAUGGAAGUUCCCAGGCUAGGGGUCGAAUCGGAGCUGCCACAGCCAUAGCAACGCCAGGUUCGAGCCACGUCUGUGACCUACACCACAGCUCACAGCAAUGCCGGAUCCUUAACCCACUGAGUGAGGCCAGGGAUCGAACUCAUGUCCUAAUGGAUCCUAGUCGGGUUUGUUAACCACUGGGCCACGACAGGAACUCCUUCCUUUUUUUAAUUUUCAUAAAAAUAUAGUUGAUUUACAAAUGUGUUAAUUUCAGAUGUACAGCAAAAUGAUUCAUUUUGUUACAUACACACACAUACACACACAUAUAAAUAAAUAUAUUAAUUAUUUUUUACAUUAUCUUCAUUACAGAUUUGGUUUUGUUUGUUUGUUUUUUGUCCUUUUCAGGGCCACACCUGUGGCAAACGGAGGUUCCCAGCCUAGGGUUGAACAGGAGCUGUAGCCAUCAGCCUACGCCACAGCCACAGCAACACAAGAUCCAAGCCACAUCUGCAAGCUACACCACAGCUCAUGGUGAUGCUGGAUCCCUCACCCACUGAUCGAGGCCAGGGAUCGAACCUGCAACCUUAUGGUAAUUAGUCAGAUUUGUUUCUGCUGCACCAUAACAAGAACUCUUAGUCUAGUUUUCAUAUAAUGUCUGCUCACUAUAGGGAAUUUCAGAGUACAGGGUUUAUAGUCAUAAUGAUAUGUUUUUCUUUUUAGAGCUACAUGAUUUCUGUUCAUUUUGCAUUAGCGUGGUAAUUGAAAAUGAAGCUUUAGAGUCAGUCAGAGCAAAUUUUAAAUCUUAGUUGUGUCUCCUAUUGGUUGUGCAUCUUUCGGUAAAUUUAAUCUCUCUGAGUUUUGGUUUCCACAUCUGUGAAAUGGAGAUAAUACCUGUACUUUGCUUAGAGGGGGAGUGUGAGGAAUAAAUGAAAUAAUAUAGGUAAAGUGCUUCGUGGGACUUUUGGAAAGUUAAGACAACAUUUGAAAUCCAUGCAUCUUACUCGCUGACUUUCAUUCUCUCCUGAAAUACCACUAAAUGAAAUGUUUUGUUUGGAAUACAUGCAUGGGAGAGGAGACGGAGACAUCCAAUUUUGAGAGGCCUUUAACCAUACACAGGGUAAAACAGUACAUAGACUUAGCACACUUCCAAAAAUGGAACCUCAGGCCUGCAGGGUGGAAAGCUAAAAACCAACAUGAUUUAAGCCACAGACCCAAAGGCUUGGAAUCAGGUUUACAGAUGGGGUAAAGAAGGGGUUCAGAAUCCAGGAGGAUUGUUUGAAAGCCUGUUUCAGAAUAGCUCCAGCCUCAAAUCCCCUCCACUUGGCACACAGCUAAACAACUGGCCCUCCUGCACCCCCCAAAAAGGAGUCGGAAUUUCUUCUCUGGAGAGGUUAAAACAGAGGAUCUCUGGAUUUCGGGAUCCCAGACAUACCUGAAGGUGAGGUUCCCCUACUGAAAACAUAAGGUUUAAGUGAAUGAAUGGAUUCCGGUUGCUAAGACCUCCACUGCUCCCCUUACUCAGAUUCUGGAAGUGAAACUCUGGCCUUUUUCCUUCCUAGGAGAUAGAGUCUUUUCUGGGGAAUUUGAUCUGCUUUGUGGAUAUUUUUCAAGAGAACAACCCAGCUAAAUCACCCAGUCCAGUUCAAUCAGUAUGGCCCACUCAGAACUUCUAGUCUGUAUUUUCUCCCCACACUCUUGAAUCAGCAGACACCUGGAUGAGCAGACUUAAGAGAAAGCUUAAGCACUAAAAUAUAGAAAUAAAAAUGAUCAACAAUGCUAACAAAACAAUCUGGUAAAAAUGGAGACCAUGCACGGAAAAGAAUUUAAGAAAAAGAAUCCUUUUAUCAUUGCAUGCAUAAAGCAAGAAUGGGAUGCUUUAAACACAUUUAGGGAACAAAUGAUUUACUAAGAACUCACAAUAAUUAAAAAUGAGAGCAGUGAGAAAUUCAACAGAAGAGUUUGAGGGUUAAGCUGAGGAAAAGAGUAAGCCAAGACAAUCUCCUGGGAAGUAGAGUAAAAAGAUGAAGUGACAGAGAGAAAUAAAAUUUAGAGAACCAGUCUGGGAGGUACAAUAUCCAAAGGAUGGGAAUUCCAGAAAGAGAACAUGGAAGGAGAGAUAAUUGAAGAACAUUUCUCAGAAGCCAAGGGUGGGUUCCCAGAUAGGGAGGGCUACAGAGUUAUCAGCACCGUGCAUGGAAAAAGACACAUCCACAUAUCUGAGAAUAUUGG